rnacentral:rRNA from 1 species
GAAAAAGAGGAGUGGCGAACGGGUGAGUAACACGUGGGUAACCUGCCCAUCAGAAGGGGAUAACACUUGGAAACAGGUGCUAAUACCGUAUAACAAUCGAAACCGCAUGGUUUUGAUUUGAAAGGCGCUUUCGGGUGUCGCUGAUGGAUGGACCCGCGGUGCAUUAGCUAGUUGGUGAGGUAACGGCUCACCAAGGCCACGAUGCAUAGCCGACCUGAGAGGGUGAUCGGCCACAUUGGGACUGAGACACGGCCCAAACUCCUACGGGAGGCAGCAGUAGGGAAUCUUCGGCAAUGGACGAAAGUCUGACCGAGCAACGCCGCGUGAGUGAAGAAGGUUUUCGGAUCGUAAAACUCUGUUGUUAGAGAAGAACAAGGAUGAGAGUAACUGUUCAUCCCUUGACGGUAUCUAACCAGAAAGCCACGGCUAACUACGUGCCAGCAGCCGCGGUAAUACGUAGGUGGCAAGCGUUGUCCGGAUUUAUUGGGCGUAAAGCGAGCGCAGGCGGUUUCUUAAGUCUGAUGUGAAAGCCCCCGGCUCAACCGGGGAGGGUCAUUGGAAACUGGGAGACUUGAGUGCAGAAGAGGAGAGUGGAAUUCCAUGUGUAGCGGUGAAAUGCGUAGAUAUAUGGAGGAAC